UGGUAACUAUCAAAGCGGUAUGCC
rnacentral:siRNA from 1 species